rnacentral:rRNA from 1 species
UACGGAGGGGGCGAGCGUUGUCCGAAGUUACUGGGCGUAAAGCGCGCGUAGGCGGGGAGCCAAGUCCGCUGUGAAAGCCUGAGGCUUAACCUCAGCGGGUCGGUGGAUACUGGUUCUCUUGAAGGCGUUAGGGGGAGAUGGAAUUACCGGUGUAGCGGUGAAAUGCGUAGAUAUGACAUAGAACACCAAUUGCGAAGGCAGCUGGCUACACAUAUAUUGACACUGAGGCACG